AGACCCGAAACCCGGUGAUCUAGCCAUGGGCAGGUUGAAGGUUGGGUAACACUAACUGGAGGACCGAACCGACUAAUGUUGAAAAAUUAGCGGAUGACCUGUGGCUGGGGGUGAAAGGCCAAUCAAACCGGGAGAUAGCUGGUUCUCCCCGAAAGCUAUUUAGGUAGCGCCUCGUGAAUUCAUCUCCGGGGGUAGAGCACUGUUUCGGCUAGGGGGCCAUCCCGGCUUACCAACCCGAUGCAAACUGCGAAUACCGGAGAAUGUUAUCACGGGAGACACACGGCGGGUGCUAACGUCCGUCGUGAAGAGGGAAACAACCCAGACCGCCAGCUAAGGUCCCAAAGUCAUGGUUAAGUGGGAAACGAUGUGGGAAGGCCCAGACAGCCAGGAUGUUGGCUUAGAAGCAGCCAUCAUUUAAAGAAAGCGUAAUAGCUCACUGGUCGAGUCGGCCUGCGCGGAAGAUGUAACGGGGCUAAACCAUGCACCGAAGCUGCGGCAGCGACGCUUAUGCGUUGUUGGGUAGGGGAGCGUUCUGUAAGCCUGCGAAGGUGGCCUGUGAGGGUUGCUGGAGGUAUCAGAAGUGCGAAUGCUGACAUAAGUAACGAUAAAGCGGGUGAAAAGCCCGCUCGCCGGAAGACCAAGGGUUCCUGUCCAACGUUAAUCGGGGCAGGGUGAGUCGACCCCUAAGGCGAGGCCGAAAGGCGUAGUCGAUGGGAAACGGGUUAAUAUUCCCGUACUUGGUGUUACUGCGAAGGGGGGACGGAGAAGGCUAUGUUGGCCGGGCGACGGUUGUCCCGGUUUAAGCGUGUAGGUGUGUGUUCCAGGUAAAUCCGGUUCACUUUAACACUGAGGCGUGACGACGAGGCACUACGGUGCUGAAGCAACAAAUGCCCUGCUUCCAGGAAAAGCCUCUAAGCAUCAGGUAACAUCAAAUCGUACCCCAAACCGACACAGGUGGUCAGGUAGAGAAUACCAAGGCGCUUGAGAGAACUCGGGUGAAGGAACUAGGCAAAAUGGUGCCGUAACUUCGGGAGAAGGCACGCUGACACGUAGGUGAAGUGAUUUACUCAUGGA
rnacentral:rRNA from 1 species